ACAGUCUCAAAGGGAAGGAUCAUGAACAGGGAGUUCAUGACCUACUAUCAGAUGGGACCUACAUUCAUGUUACUGGAGACAGAGGAGACAGAGAACAUGGAUGGCACCAGAACGGUGAAUGGCCCCGACGUGGAACACCAGGCCAUUCUGAUUGGCCCUCCGAACCUCAUGGAGUAGAUGUCCAUAGCAGGCAUGACCGUCACCCACCUCGUCGUUUUUGCACACGCAGCUGGAGACCCAGAGAGACCGGUCAGGGGAAGGAUGGACGGUCCCCUUGAUCCCACCACCUGCCAAGUCCUUCCCACCAGGUCCUGAGUGGAGGCACACACUGCCCACUCCACCCACCCUGCUCUGUGCCCACCUGGUCUUUCUGUCAGGGGUCACCUGACAGGUAGCUGAUCUGUCGCAGGAAUGUGGUUUGCAGGAGACAUGGCACCCCU